GGCAAGGUAGCUCAGUUGGUUAGAGCAUGCGGUUCAUACCCGUAGUGUCGGGGGUUCAAGUCCCUCCCUUGCUACCA
rnacentral:tRNA from 1 species